rnacentral:rRNA from 1 species
AGAGGCAGAAAUGCGUAUCCGAUGGACAGCAGGUUGAGAUUCCUGCACUAUCUUAAAACAGAACUGUGGGGACAUUUGUGGAGAGCACAGGCGCGGAACGGAAAGCCGCGUGCAAGCGAAGGAGGAGUCACAUAGGAAAAACCGUGUGGCAAUCCAAAGGCGUGAUGUGGACCGAACUAAAGUAGGGAAGUGUGUGAGCCAUGAAUCAAGAAAAGCCGCUAUUGUUUUUAAGAUACCCGUACCGUAAACCGACACAGGUGGAUGAGGAGAGAAUCCUAAGGCCGGCGGAAGAAGCAUUGUUAAGGAACUCGGCAAAAUGACCCCGUAACUUCGGGAGAAGGGGUGCCAACGAGAGUUGGCCGCAGAGAAUAGGCUCAAGCAACUGUUUAGCAAAAACACAGGUCUAUGCAAAACCGUAAGGUGAGGUAUACGGGCUGACGCCUGCCCGGUGCUGGAAGGUUAAGAGGAGAGGUUAGCGCAAGCGAAGCUUUGAAUUUAAGCCCCAGUAAACGGCGGCCGUAACAAUAACGGUCCUAAGGUAGCGAAAUUCCUUGUCGGGUAAGUUCCGACCCGCACGAAAGGCGUAAUGAUUUGAGCGCUGUCUCGACAAUGCAUCCGGUGAAAUUGAAGUACCAGUGAAGAUGCUGGUUACCCGCGCCAGGACGGAAAGACCCCAUGGAGCUUUACUCCAGUUUGGUACUGGGGUCCGGCAGUGCAUGUACAGGAUAGGUGGGAGGCUGAGAACCUGGAACGCCAGUUUCAGGGGAGCCAUUGUUGGGAUACCACCCUUGUGCUGCUGGGCUUCUAACCAGCGGCCUUUAUCAGGCCGGGGGACAAUGCCAGACGGGGAGUUUGACUGGGGCGGUCGCCUCCGAAAGGGUAUCGGAGGCGCUCAAAGGUUCCCUCAGAAUGGUCGGAAACCAUUCGAAGAGUGCAAAGGCAGAAGGGAGCUUGACUGCGACACCGACGGGUGGAGCAGGUACGAAAGUAGGACUUAGUGAUCCGGUGGAAUUAAGUGGGAAUGCCAUCGCUCAACGGAUAAAAGCUACCCUGGGGAUAACAGGCCUAUCACUCCCAAGAGUUCACAUCGACGGAGUGGUUUGGCACCUCGAUGUCGGCUCAUCGCAUCCUGGGGCUGUAGUAGGUCCCAAGGGUUGGGCUGUUCGCCCAUUAAAGCGGUACGCGAGCUGGGUUCAGAACGUCGUGAGACAGUUCGGUCCCUAUCCGGCGUGGGCGUAGGAUAUUUGAGAGGAGCUGUCCUUAGUACGAGAGGACCGGGAUGGACUGACCUCUGGUGUACCGGUUGAACCGCCAGGUUCACGGCCGGGUAGCCAAGUCGGGAAGGGAUAAACGCUGAAGGCAUCUAAGCGUGAAGCCCCCCUCAAGAUGAGAUAUCCCAUUCGAAAGAAGUAAGACCCCUUGAAGACGACGAGGUAGAUAGGGCAGAGGUGGAAGUGCCGUAAGGCAUGGAGCUGACUGUUACUAAUCGGUCGAGGGCUUGACC